AAGUAAUAGAGUAUUUCUAUACAAGCUAAAACAAAUAUCUACUAAAUCAAAUGAUACAUAUUUCAAAAUCAAAAUUCGCCAUAAAUUUAACAUAAAACGCUAUUCGAUACAUAAUAUUCUAUCAUAUUCAUUGGUUGUGUAAGUUGUUCAAACUUUGAUUGAACAUCUACAUUUUUCUAUUGAAACUUCACAUUCUUUUGUUGAGCAUCCUCAUAUUUUUGUUGAGCAUCAUAUUGUUUGGCUGCGUCUCAACUAACAUCUUCAAUUUUUCAAUCUCAACAUUUGUCUUGGCACGCUCGUUAUCGGCAUUAUUUUAAGCUUCCUACUUUUUACUUUAAAAUUUUACCCAAUUGUAGCAAUCUGAUCUAAAUACAAAAGCUGAAAGUAUAAUGUUAUAAUUUGGUUAGAUUAUUCCAAGUACAAUAUUUUGAUAAGAAAAAAAGAUUAAAACAUAAGGGUAAAAUUGUUAUUUAACAAUUAGUAAUAAAUUGGAAACAAACGAUGUUUUCUUAUCCAAAAUCCAAAUACUUUAGUGAUAAAUGACUAACUUCAACUUAAUUUUAGGAUUAGCCUCUUUAAAACUCAAAAUGGAACUAUUUUUUGAAGUACAAUGUCCUAGUAUGUAUAAAAGAUAAAGUACAAUGCUAUAAUGGGGUCGAUUUUCCAAUGUAAAAAUAUCUUGAUAAGAAAAAUAUCAAUAAAUAAUGUUGUAAUUUUGUCAUUUAUUUAACCUAGACAUAAGGGUAAAACUGUCAUUUGCAGAAAACAAAGGAUGGUUUUGUUAUCACCUGGAGUAAAGUGGAGUGGAUUGGAACCUAAGAUAAGAAAAUUUGUCUCAAGAAGUUGAGUGGGUAUGAGUGGAGCAUAACCUGGAAUAAGAAAAAACAAACCAUAAAUUUUAUGGGAUCAACCAUCUACAUAAACAGAACUAAUCAUCAAUCCAGUUGAUAUAUGUAAAGGGAAGGAUAAACAAUAUUGUUCCAGGGGACACCCCUCUAUCACAGCCACAAGGCUUUGAGCCGAUACAAGAGUAUCACUGUCACCAAAAUAUCUGAAUGCCUACAAAUGAAAUCAUUCCUACCUAUUUAGUACUCUCUCUCGCUCUCUCUCUCUCUAUAACAUAUCUUAGCCAUUUUCCAGAUUUGCCCUUAUUACUUCUUCCAGAAUAAUCCUCUAGCAGCUUUGAUUCAUUUUCCCUUUUAACUACCAUAUUAUGAUCUAUAUCAAAAUAUGUCAAAUCUCAAAUAACAACAUAUCCUUUACUUAACGUUUUGUUUCAUUUUUUAACUUUUAUAGACAACAUAAUUACCAUUUUCUCUAUUUCCUAAUUUACUUUUGAUUGAGCUUGAUUUUGAUAAUAAUAAUAAAAAAAAUAGUGAUCACCUUUUAUUUGUUCGAAAUUUUCAUUGGGUUUCAACAGUUGAUUAAAUCUACAAAAGAAAAUUGGAACUAGAAUUAUAUAAUACUUCAUAGAAUUAGGAAUAUUUUGCCAUAUGUAUACAUAUAGGCAUGUUUUUUUAUGCAUAACUACUUAUGUGAAUCAGAUUUACCUGAAGUUAGAGAGGCUCAUUAUAUGAUUAAGAUGUAAGAGGUGAGAGGCAAAAAAUUGGAAUGGAGAAAAGAGAAGAGAUCAAACUGCAAAAUAAUCAAGCUACAAAAAAUCAAGUGUUUUCUAAAAUAAUCAGAUACCUGAAAUUAAAGGUAGAGUUAUAGUUAAAAGCUUGUAUAAUGCUUCAAAGAACUCCAAGCCUUUACAAACAGGAAAAGUAAUGUCAAUUCCAACACACACACACAUACACAAAAGCACUCAAACCACACACAACCAUACACACAUACUCAAAACAUAAACUGAGAUAUAUAUUGAUCAUAUCAUUGUACUCGCAUCACAAACAACCACUGACACAACACAAAUCAUUUAUGUCAUUACAGAGAGCAUAAUCAUCUUGUAAUGUCCCUAGAGAUAAACAUAUGAUGGAAUCCAACUACUAUACCUAUUAUGUCAAACUCUAACAAAAUUCCUGGUCUUGUGGGCAAACUUUCAAGCAAUCAAAGAAAUUCACUCCAACAAAGAAAUUAGGUCCUCUACAACGCAAAUCUUAGACAAAGGACAUAAGUAGUACUAUUGGAAGCAAUAAUUUAAUAGAAACCGACAUGAAUGAACUCGAGCCGGUCCUCGAGGUUCACGUAGGUCUUAGUGGUGAAUUAUGUAGGUUUUAAGAAGCAAACAAAACAGAGAAGAAGAUUACCUAGUAGGGACGAAGGCGAUCGAGAAAAAAAUGGUGAAGAUGAGUAGAACAAUACACAGCAAACAUGAUUAACGGAGCAGGUGGCAAACGUAAGAGCAAACAAGAGGAGUGAAGUCCGAUCGAUAAUGGUGUAAAUGGAGACAGACAGCGGAAUUUGAGGUGUGAAUUUGAAGGAUUGAAAAAGGAUUUUAAAAGAUCAAAGCCUCGUAUUUGAAGGAGAGACUGAAAAGGUAAUAUUGAUAGGGUUUAUCUUUUACCUUCAAAAUCCAAAUUGAACAUAGUGAGGAUGGAUUCGGUGUUUCUACUCGUCGGAAUAGCCAGACGGCGGUGGUCGAAAGAGGGAGAGAGGCGAUCGACCGUAGGUCAGAGGUUUGAUCGGGUAAACCUCAUUGAAUAACUUCGCAACCGAGUGCAAAAUGAGGUCAAGUGAUUUUACCCAUUCACCCUUCCCUUAAU
rnacentral:lncRNA from 1 species